UAAAUUAUAAGAAAAUAAGAAAAUCAAUUUUGUCAAAAACUAAACAUUUUCGUUUUCUGUCGAUUGAUGUGAUCUCGAAGACUUCAACACAUUUCCAAACACAUUGUUUGGAUUUCUUAAGUUCCUUUUUUUUGCUUUUAAUAUUUGAAUAUUUUAAAUCAAACUCAUUUGCAGACUUUCUCAACUUCAGACUUGUCAAUGAUGGCAAAGAUAGAGAACGAUAGAAAAAAACACGUCCACGUAAUAAGUGCGAUCUAUGCGAUAUCUAUGCGAUGUCUAUGGGAUGUUAUUCUUGAAUAAUACGUGACACGGCGACCAGGAUCCCAUGUGCGGUGUCUGUUUAUUCUCCGGAGGUUCGACUACGGUAAUAAUAAUAAUUGAUAUUAUUCCAACAUGGAAAACUGCGUGUAAAGUUAUCGGUACCGAUGACGGUCGGCGUCACAACCGCGGUAGUUCAUACGGCCCUGGUGUGCACUGGCGUUUCGGCGUAUCCAACGCGUCGGCGUACAGCGAACGUGUCGGCAGCACGGCAUUUAUUUGCAGCGCCCGUCACCAGGACCGCAUGCACUCAUCGUCAGUUCCUGAGGAGUGUUUUCCAGAGGCGCCAGGGCAACCGAGUCCGAGUCGACCGCCGAGAUGGUAGAAAUUAUACGGUAUAUAAAAUUAUUGUCACUGUAAUUUUGUUUUAGAAAUUUUUUUAGAAAUACGGGCUUGGGAGGGCCACUUGGGCCCCUGAAGCAGCCCCUGCGAGAUGUAGCGUAGUGUAUACUUAUAACUACUUAUAAGAAAUAGUAUUAAUAAUUGAAUGACACUAUUAUGAUAAUAUAGUUGAGCAUUAAGUAAGAGACGUUUUGCGCAAACUUAACCAAAGCUGGACUAUUUCAAUUAUACCAUGUUGAUUGUAUCAUGCGUUUGUAGAAUUAUAUAGGUGGUACAUGUAUAGUGGCGUGACAAUGACGAUAACUUCACCGAAACUAUAAAUGGAGACUAGUCAGUAUAUUAUAAUUGUGGUCACUAGUCACCCACUCAAUUUAUUUGCUGAGAUAAUUUUGGAAUUUGAUGACGCAAGAUGAUGAGAGCAAUAUUACGGUUGAACUCCAAGAACGUAAUAUAAAAAAACGUCGUUUUUCAGAAAUCAUUGAUGUCGCAAUUAGCGAAAGUGCAUUAUAAGUAUAUAUAAUAUUUUCACUGGUGCACCCUGGUUCAUGUCAAACGAGACCCUAAACUCCGACCUCAAAUUACUCUCCAUCAACAAUACAGCUGCUAUCUAUUACAAACGCUUCCACGCCAAACUUCAAACCAACUAAUCAAUGAGUUAGCUUCGCUAACACUUCCAGGUAACCCAAUCAGACGCCUCAAGAGGAAAUGGUGCCGUGAUUUGGUGACUUAAGUUAAAACUUAUACAUUUAAGAGGUGUCACAAAUGUGUGUUUUCCUCCUCAUGUAAAUAUUCGUUGUUAACUGCUUGUAAAUUAUUAAUAUUAC